CCCAGACUCCUACGGGAGGCAGCAGUGAGGAAUAUUGGUCAAUGGGCGGAAGCCUGAACCAGCCAAGUCGCGUGAGGGAAUAAGGCCCUACGGGUCGUAAACCUCUUUUGCCGGGGAGCAAGGGCGGGGACGUGUCCCGGCCCGGAGAGUACCCGGAGAAAAAGCAUCGGCUAACUCCGUGCCAGCAGCCGCGGUAAUACGGAGGAUGCGAGCGUUAUCCGGAUUUAUUGGGUUUAAAGGGUGCGUAGGCGGACGCUUAAGUCAGCGGUAAAAUUGCGGGGCUCAACCUCGUCGAGCCGUUGAAACUGGGUGCCUUGAGUGGGCGAGAAGUACGCGGAAUGCGUGGUGUAGCGGUGAAAUGCAUAGAUAUCACGCAGAACUCCGAUUGCGAAGGCAGCGUACCGGCGCCCAACUGACGCUGAAGCACGAAGGCGUGGGUAUCGAACAGGAUUAGAUACCCUAGUA
rnacentral:rRNA from 1 species